GGAGGGGUGCCCGAGCGGCUAAAGGGGGUGGACUGUAAAUCCAUUGGCUACGCCUACGAAGGUUCGAAUCCUUCCUCCUCCA
rnacentral:tRNA from 3 species